GCCCGCUCAGAAACUCAAAGGAAGUUGACGGGGCCCGCACAAGCGGAGGAGCAUGUGGUUUAAUUCGAUGAUACGCGAGGAACCUUACCUGGGCUCGAACGUAAGAUGACUGUAGGUGAAAGCUUACAUCUCUUCGGAGCAUUUUACGAGGUGCUGCAUGGUUGUCGUCAGCUCGUGCCGUGAGGUGUCGGGUUAAGUCCCAUAACGAGCGCAACCCUACCUUUAGUUGCCAUCAGGUAAUGCUGGGGACUCUAAAGGAACUGCCUACGCAAGUAGUGAGGAAGCGGGGAUGACGUCAAAUCAGCACGGCCCUUACGUCCAGGGCUACACACGUGCUACAAUGGCCGAUACAGAGGGCAGCUACCUGGUGACAGGAUGCAAAUCUCCAAAGUCGGUCUCAGUUCGGAUCGGAGUCUGCAACCCGACUCCGUGAAGUUGGAUUCGCUAGUAAUCGCGCAUCAGCCAUGGCGCGGUGAAUACGUUCCCGGGCCUU
rnacentral:rRNA from 1 species